AUUGAACGCUGGCGGCAGGCCUAACACAUGCAAGUCGAGCGGAUGAAGGGAGCUUGCUCCUGGAUUCAGCGGCGGACGGGUGAGUAAUGCCUAGGAAUCUGCCUGGUAGUGGGGGAUAACGUCCGGAAACGGGCGCUAAUACCGCAUACGUCCUGAGGGAGAAAGUGGGGGAUCUUCGGACCUCACGCUAUCAGAUGAGCCUAGGUCGGAUUAGCUAGUUGGUGGGGUAAAGGCCUACCAAGGCGACGAUCCGUAACUGGUCUGAGAGGAUGAUCAGUCACACUGGAACUGAGACACGGUCCAGGCUCCUACGGGAGGCAGCAGUGGGGAAUAUUGGACAAUGGGCGAAAGCCUGAUCCAGCCAUGCCGCGUGUGUGAAGAAGGUCUUCGGAUUGUAAAGCACUUUAAGUUGGGAGGAAGGGCAGUAAGUUAAUACCUUGCUGUUCUGACGUUACCAACAGAAUAAGCACCGGCUAACUUCGUG
rnacentral:rRNA from 1 species